GUUCACAGAUGUGGGCACUUUCUCAACAAGUCUUUGAAUCUUUCCCAAGCUUCGUACAAGUUUUCUUGAUCAUGGUGGGGGAAUGUCAUUAUCUCAUUGUGCAGUUU
rnacentral:snoRNA from 1 species